CAUUGUAAGGAACAUGAACAAGACAAAGAUCAUGAAGCUGAAUGCAGUAUGUGACAUGACAAACUGAGUUCAAUUCUCCCUUUCCCAAGGAGUGCAGGUGUCAUCAUUAACUGUGGCAACUGCAGGUUGACUUGCAAAUUUGGAGCUGCAGAGAUUCCACCAGGACAGGGUGGAUACAUAUCAGCUGCUUGAUUGACACCAGAACGACAUUGAAUAGCAGCAUAUACCAGUCGUCAUAAGUCUGUGAAUGCUUCAAAGUAGAACAGUGUAAGGCCAAAGGCGAUGUUCUUAUAGAAGAAAUAACAAAUCUGAAUGCAGAGAAUUGCAGUUCAAUGAGAAAGACUAAGUAAUGAUCAACACAAGAAAAAAGAAUUAGAUGUGUUAUGCCUGAUGUGUGGAUGUGUGUCUGUGUUUAUGUGCGCAAGCGCACGCCUGUGAGUUCAGACUAGUUUGACAUGCCAAAAUAAAUAAGCAUUUC
rnacentral:lncRNA from 1 species